GAUGAACGCUGGCGGCGUGCCUAAUACAUGCAAGUCGAGCGAACGGACGAGAAGCUUGCUUUUCUGAUGUUAGCGGCGGACGGGUGAGUAACACGUGGAUAACCUACCUAUAAGACUGGGAUAACUUCGGGAAACCGGAGCUAAUACCGGAUAAUAUUUUGAACCGCAUGGUUCAAAAGUGAAAGACGGUCUUGCUGUCACUUAUAGAUGGAUCCGCGCUGCAUUAGCUAGUUGGUAAGGUAACGGCUUACCAAGGCAACGAUGCAUAGCCGACCUGAGAGGUUGAUCGGCCACACUGGAACUGAGACACGGUCCAGACUCCUACGGGAGGCAGCAGUAGGGAAUCUUCCGCAAUGGGCGAAAGCCUGACGGAGCAACGCCGCGUGGGUGAUGAAGGUCUUCGGAUCUUAAAACUCUGUUAUUAGGGAAGAACAUAUUCGUAAUUAACUGUGCACAUCUUGACGGUACCUAAUCAGAAAGCCACGGCUAACUACGUG
rnacentral:rRNA from 1 species